UUGAGUAAAGGUGAAUUUUAUUGCAGCGACAGCCACAUGAAAAGGCCAUCAAAAGACACAUUUCCAACCAAACACUUAUCUAUUCAGACUAGCAGUUCUGAAAUUAAAACAAUAAAUACAUUUUUACCCCUUCAUACAUUUGGUUUCUCAGCUUGUGGAUGGUAACUGCUAUGUGCGAGGCUCCUAAGGAAGAUAUUUGCACAGUACCAAUAGAACUAGCAGGUAGCUGAAGUAUUGGUGUACUGGGUGAAGCCAAGGUAUAAGCCAAAUGAAGCACCGGUGGUUAAGCUGCCUUCAAAGCCACUUAGGACAAACUAAGGAGAGUUUUUAACUAUUCCUCCACAAUUUCAGGGUAUAUAAUCUGUUAUCAAAGCAAAAGGAUGGAGGGUGAUAGCCAAAGGAAGAUUUAAAUUUAGAAAAUAAACUAACCACAUAUUCUCUCAAUUAUAGUUUGGCAAAGGAAGGUCACAAAAGAAAAAAGGGAUUCUACUCUUCCAGGUAUCACUUCUAACAUGGGUUCCCUUUGGCCAUCCUGACCCCUAAAUCCAACUGGCUGCAUCUACUCUACAGCCCGACAAGCUCUGGUCUUCCAGUCUUUCAACUUUUGCUUGCACAGAUGAGUCUCCUUCUGGGUAAAGGGAACAGGAAAGGCGUAUAACCCAUCUUUAAGUCAGCAUAGGCACUUAAAAAAAUCAGCCACGCUGCACAUGCAGGCCUGGGAACUCUGAAUCACUCCCAUUUUGGGGUCUCAAUUAAUAGAUAGUCUGCAUAGUGACAGUAGAGUCUGUUUUGGUUUUUUUCUAAUUAUACUCUCCAUAGGCUUGGGCUGAAGGCAGGCUGACAGAGGGGUAAAUUGGUCCUAAGCUUCUAAACUCUUUGGGCAAGGGUUACAUUUCCUGGGAAACAUCCUAACAAAUAUGGCACUGUAAAGAAAACAAUCAAUCAAAAGAACCAGAAAGCAUAUUCAGCACAGUGCUCUUCCAAAGGAGAGCACCACAGUAUAUCAAGAAGCAGCAUUACUGGUUAAAUCUUCAAAUUGCUUUUUGAAAGCAGAUCACAGCUACAGUGCUGUACAUUACAAAUGCAAAUAUAUGACAUAUAAAAAGUUUUCUAUGCAAAAUAAUCCUGCUUCCAGUCCACAUUUUUCUAUGCCAUUUACUGCAAGUGUAUAUUAAACUUUGAUACAUUUGCUUACAGACAGCUUAUUGCCACAAAGGUAAGUUCUGGCAAUCUUAGCAACAGAACACAGUUUAGUAGCAGUUAUUAAAAUACUUUUACAGUAAUUAAGAUCUUAAUCUUCCAUUAUAAGGAAAAAAAAAAUAGUGAUGCAAGUUGUCCACUACAUUCAGAAGUACGAUACUUGAGUUUUACUAAAAACCAGUGAGCAUGCAACUCAGACUUGAAAGAAGUCAAUAAGGAACUGGUAUUUAAUACAGCCAGGUAUAUAUGUCACUUGCAUACAUUUAUUCACAGCUUAACAACAUUAAAUAAUCUAUAGUUCUGAAAUAUGUGCAUUUUAAAAGGAAUUUGUCACAGCUCUUCAGUGAUAGCCAAGCAGACAUCAUGCAGAAGAGACUAAAUCAGGUCAGCUGCAAACUGCAUUUGAAUUAAGACAAAGUUGUACCCUUCCACUCUUGUGCUUCCAUUGUUAAAAUCACAGCAGGAGAAUGACUUGCGCUUAUUUUUAUGCAUGUUUCAAGUCUCUCCUGUUGCCCUGUUUUCGCAUUGAGUGAUGUUAACCAAAUUCAGCUGUGAAUAAGUACUUAGAAUUCAGCAUCCCAGACCAAGAGCAAAUUGUGAAUGUUGAAGAUAUGGUAAUUAUUUCAAAAGUAUAAACUUAGCCUCAUGUUUGCUAUCUACGUUUCCAUGCUACAGACACCCAAGAAUCUUAUCCCCUCUCUACUAUUUAUCUGUUUUGUGAUCUGAAAGUCCACAGAAAAUGUUUUCACCAGUAGCACAAACCAUAACGACUCUGGUUAAAACACACACUGGAGGGGGGAAGAGAAGGAAAACCAAAGAAACAUACAACACCCCGCACCCCCCCCCAAAAAAAAAAAAACAAACAAAAAAUAUUGCUUAAGACUGUGGAAAGGAAUUAAAAUAUCUAAAUAAGGCCUGUUGGCUUUGAUGACUGUGUACUGAAAUAUAUACAAGCAAAAACUUAAACCAAAAGCACAGUUACUGCAAUUUAUUUGCAACAUGUGCUGCCUUUCUGCUGUUCUUAUGUCCAGAUUAAUCUCAGUCCCGAAUAAGGCAAUAUUAAAGGAAUGAGCAUCAUUUCCUCAGGGCCUCAACUAAGAUAAAUAGAAAAGGAAGAAUACUGUUUAGUAUCGGUAGGUAUACCAGGGAGUGAUUUUGUGUAAAACAGCACAGAGAGCAUGAAAAUUUGAGUGAAAAAGAUAGAAAGACUCUGGGUUGAAAGGUAAACAGGGUUUAAAAACAUUUGUCUGCAUUUUAAUAACUUACAAAUAAAUUAAGAUGAUGAAAGGCAGCAUGGACUAUAUAAAGGGGAAAAGAAGACUGAAGCUAAAAAAGAAAAAAAAGCUGCUGCGUUGGUAAUAAAAGUAGCAAUUCUAUGGCAGAGAUUUCUUUUUCUUGAAGAGAACCAAAACAUUCUGUUGAAUAACCUGGAACAGAGAUUAUCUCAUCUGUGCAGAUUUGUGCAAAUGAUGUGUGCAAACACAGAGAAGUGAGAGAAGGGUAUAACAUCUUCCA
ensembl:lncRNA